AGAGAGAGUAGCGAGGGAUUAGAGCAAUGAUGGCAGCUAAUUACAAUACCUCUGUCCUAACCUUAUUUGCGCUUAUGUUUUGCUGCAUGCCAAUGGCAACUCGAGCUGCUUCGGGCACCGCAACGUAUUACGAGACAUACGUUUCUUCCGCAUGUUAUGGAUACCAGCCUCAGGGCGUGAUGAUAGCCGCAGCCAGCAACGUGUUCUGGUAAGGCGGGGCCGCCUGCGGAAGAAGUUACAACGUAACGUGCACCA